AAACCAUUCAGACAAAAUCACUUCUAACAUCUCGAUCUAGCUCUUCCUCCUGCUCAGCUCUCGUUCCAUCAGGGUCUUCCACAGCGUAGCAAGGCAAGCUAGUAGAUCCCGGAGAGGGUGCAGCCAUGUCGGACGUGACGGCGGUGAUGGAUCUGGAGGCGGAGGAGCGGCAGCUGGCACUUCCGCCGGGGUUCCGGUUCCACCCCACCGACGAGGAGGUGGUCACCCACUACCUCACCCGCAAGGUCCUCCGCGAAUCCUUCUCCUGCCAAGUGAUCACCGACGUCGACCUCAACAAGAACGAGCCGUGGGAGCUCCCUGGCCUGGCGAAGAUGGGCGAGAAGGAGUGGUUCUUCUUCGUGCACAGGGGCCGGAAGUACCCGACGGGGACGCGCACCAACCGGGCGACGAAGAACGGCUACUGGAAGGCGACGGGGAAGGACAAAGAGAUCUUCCGCGGCAAGGGCCGGGACGCCGUCCUCGUCGGCAUGAAGAAGACGCUCGUCUUCUACACCGGCCGCGCCCCCAGCGGCGGGAAGACGCCGUGGGUGAUGCACGAGUACCGCCUCGAGGGCCAGCUGCCCCAUCGCCUUCCCCGCACCGCCAAGGAUGAUUGGGCUGUUUGCCGGGUGAUCAACAAAGACUUGGGGGCGAGGAAUGCUCCACGGAUGGAGGAUCCGCUCGCCUUCCUCGAUGACUUGCUCAACAAUGAUGACUUGCUUAACAACGCCGACCUGCUCGAUAACGCUGACCUGCCGAUGCUCAUGGACUCACCGUCUGGCGCCGACGAUUUCGCCGGCGCUUCGAGCUCCACCUCCAGCGCCGCCCUGCCGCUUGAGGCGGACACGGAGCAUUUGACUAUCAAGAUGGAGCCGCCGCAGCAGAUGCAGAGCCCAAACUCCUUCAUGCCGGCGACGGCCAACGGCAAUCUUGGCGGCGUCGGGUACUCACCCUACCAGGCUAUGGGCGAUCAGCAGGUCGCGAUCCGCAGGUACAGCAAGCCGAAGGCGGAGGUAGCGUCUUCGUCCGCGCUGCUGAGCCCUUCGCUGGGCUUGGACACGGCGGCGCUCGCCGGCGCGGACACCUCGUUCCUGAUGGCGUCGUCGCGGUCGUACUUCGAUCUGGAGGAGCUGUUCCGGGGCGAGCCUCUCAUGGACUACUCCAACAUGUGGAAGAUAUGAUUGAAUCCAUCCAUCUAUUCGAUGGAUUGGAGCGUCUCAGUUUGCUGGUAACAAUAGAUGGUUAUUUGGUUGAUGCUAGCUCUUCGAUCGAUUAGUUGCUUCAUUAACUUUGAUUAAGGAUUGUGUUCAUUAAGGUAUCCUGGUGUGUUUGUUGAUGCGUGCAAGGCAUAAUGAUGGCCUGUGAGCGGAGGGAGUGCUGAUUAAUCUUAGAACGUGGUAUCAAACUACUAGGAGUCAUCUGUAGUUUGUACAUAGUUACCUGAUUGCCAUAAUACAGUUUAGUGAUUAGGGGGAUGAACCCGAUCAAGUUGGUUGAUAAAUAUAUUUAAUUGU
rnacentral:rRNA from 1 species